UCUCCUUCUCUCCUCCACUCCCCAUCGCGCCCCUAUCAUCAGCCGCCACCGCCAUCGCCGGGAGGGGCCGCCACUCGCGUCGCUCUCCGCAGCCGCCACAGCCCCCUCCCCUUCCAAACCCACCGAGAUGACGGCGUCGGCACUGGCGCUCGCGGUGGUCGGGUGGCUUGCUCGCGCUCGCGGAGGCCGAGGUGGUCGCGCUGCUCUGGGUCGUGUGCCGCCUCCGUCGCCGGUAGGAGGGGGCCGCAGAGGCCGCCGCGCAGCCCGGUGACCAGGAGCUCCCCGAUAGCCUCGCUCUCCUCCUUGGUGCCCAGCGGGAGAGGCAGCGGACGAAAGUCGAUGACGCCGACCCCCUCCUCCAUGGCAGCGCCUUCGUCCCCGACGACACCCAGCAGCAGCUCACUCCCGGCCCAAAACGAGGCAGCGUUCCCAAAUGUGAAGCGACAACCCGCAGAAAGAUGAGCAGGAGCAGACCAGGGAUGAAGCCAAGAUCUACGAUGGUGAUUCUUCCAAUAAAAUGAUGCAGGUGGCCAACAGCUUGAUGGUGCCGUCGAUAUGAGUAAAAUGCAUCGAUGGUCAUUGAACUUAUUGUAUACGCUCAUUUUGGUCACUGUACUUAAGAAUACGGUCAAUACGAUCACUAUAUACGCAUUGCGGUGAUUAUACGGUCACUGUCACACCGUAUAGCUUCGUAUUUUAUAUAGUUGACCGGUCAAACAGUUCAAUGGCGCUGUAUCAGCUCCACCUGUCAGUGGCUAGAAGAAAUAAAGGGUACGAUUGGAAAGUAAAAGAGUGCACCGCUGCUGUGGAAUCGAACCCGAACGACGUGCUGGUAGUGCAGCACGCUAGCCAGCCGAGCCAACUUCAGUUCGCGUUUAAUUUAUUUGCAUUCACGUGACAACCAUAACAGGGCGGCCGUUGCUUGUGCUGCGUACUUGUGUGGGUACGUGCAUGUUUGUGUGUUGUGUGGUGUUGUGCGUGACUGUGAUAUGCGUGAACAAGAUGCUUGCCAUGUGUGUGCGCCCGCUUGUGAUGUACGUACGUCUGAGUGAGCACGGACAAGGCGAAGGCGUUGAGAAAGAAGAAGUCAGAGGCAGCGAGGAGCUGCACGAGCGCGCCAAGAGGACAGCCUGUGCGCGAGUCAACGGCGAGCACAGACAUGUGGCGCCGGAUGGUGGCCGGGCCUGGACAGAGGUGAUGGUGGUCGCAGGCAUGAAGAAAAAGACGAUGGGGGAGAAGAGGAGAGUGACCAGUACUGUGUACGCCACGUCCGCGUCGCAUCGCUAGCUUGUCGUGAUGCCUGGUGUGUGAUCAAGUAGUGCAGUGCGUGCGUGCUGAGUGUGUGCACUAUAUGCAUUCUCGCUAACGUAUAUAAAAAAAUCGCUCAGCAAGUUAACCAAAAUUGUUAUGCGCUCCAUUGGCUAGCCCACUGUUGCUACCACAUUAAUGUUCUGUGUUAGAAAUCCUCAUAGACGCACAUUUUAUUUUGCCUCUUGUUUUCUUUCUUUCACCGACUGACAGAUGGGACCCGCAUAAGUAGAGAGAGAAAGUGGGCUAACAGGGCAUCAUUGGGACUGUUUGACCGGUCAACUAAAUAAAAUACAAAGCUAUACGGUGCGACAGUGACCGUAUAAUCAUCGCAAUGUGUAUAUAGUGAUCGUAUUGACUGUAUUCUUAAGUACAGUGACCAAAGUGAGCGUAUACGACAAGUUCAAUGACCACCCAUGCAUUUUACUCCGUCGAUAUUGUCUCCUCCAGCGUCAAGGAACCAGCCAAAAACGUCAUCGUCAAGCAAGCGACGCUGAGCAAAUGUCAGGUGCCAUCACGCACCAUGGUGUGGCGAUCAGAUUGGCAACGUGUUCAAUGCAGCGUACAAUGCCAAUGAUCAGUUCAUUUUUGUGGAUUGUUGUGGGGGAUUGAGGCUUUAAAGCACAUGAAUUGCAGCAGGAAUUGUUCAGGAUACUACUGUUGUUGCUACUUGGCGCGUUACCAUCACCGGGAGGAGCGACGGCCAUCCACAUCGCCAUUGCCAUCGUCCUUCAGGUACUAAUGUUGGUGUGAGCUCAAGGAAAAAGGCAAAACCCAUUUGUAGUUUCAGCUUUACGAGGCGUUGUCAGCAAUGAUUGAUGAGAUAAUUGGUUGAGCUACUUUUGGAAGGGGCGACGGAAAUCAUAAAAACUACGAUGGCUAUGGAGAUUCAACAUACAGAAAGAUGGAAGAGAACACACAGUAAAUAAAACAGAACACAAAGCAGUAGCCUUUGGAGCAGGUUACAGUUUGCACUUGGUAUUAAAGGAUUUGGAGCAGGCUAUAUCUGUGAUGACACAGAUUGGUUAUGCAGGAUCUCUUGGCUAAAUCCUUCUGCUUUAUCAUGAAGACAACAAAUAGUGGUUACUUCUCAUCUGAGCUUGAGCUGUGGUGAAUGCGACCGAUGUUUCUACGAAGAUGUAGUUCUUUUGGUUUAUCGACUAAUAUUAUCGUAUAUAGACGUGAUGCCUGAGGCGUUUUGAAUCAGUGUCGUAGCAGACUACCCUAUCCUUAUUGUAAAUUAUGUGUGAUCACCGACAGUCCUUCGGGUCGAUUUACCACUCCAUGGUUAUUGUAAAUUAUGAACGAAUUAUGCUGUAGUUUUAGUAUUGAU